GGGGGAUUAGUUAAACUUUAUAAUCUGAGUAUGUCAAGCUCGAGUUACCGCUUUGGUAUCCCCUU
rnacentral:tRNA from 1 species